AAAUGGCUACUGAGCUAUACCCUUCAGAUGGUGGUACGUUUGGUCUAUCAAUCAUAAAAGUCCUUAGCUCCUGGUCUGCUCGGUGCUGCCAAAGAUGAUUGGCCAGGAAAAUUCUCUGCUUCUGCUGAUGAUUGAACAGAAAUACAAUGCUUCCUGAAAGGGUUGUUUUGAAAGGUAUGAGUUGCACGUGAAAAUGUAUUUAUAAAACCUCUGUAACAGAUUGGAGAAAUGGAUUAUAUAAUUUUGGAUCUGUUUGUAACUUGAUAUCUAAGUCUUGGGAAAAAAGAUUCUCAGGAGACUAUGGUUUCAACUUCAAAGAAACAGUGGUGAUUGGGAGGGUGUGCAGCAGAUUUGGAGGCCAAAGAAGGUCUGCAUUACUAUACAACAGGCUUACAGGAACAUGCAGUAUUGUGAAUGCAGACAUUAAGACAAAAUCUGACAAGGACGCCCAGACUGUGGCUGCAGGAAGCAGAAUGCACCUGGUGUAGAAGAUAUCACUGCAAGUACAAUAUGGGCAGAACUGAUGCAUUUGCAAGAAACAAAUGAGAAUGUCCUCAAACAAGAUUGUCUGCCCCUCUAAGGAAGCAGAGCAAGUUUGCAUACAUCUUCCACACUGCCUGUAACACACCCUUCAGCAGCACGUGGCUACAUGAACUUUCAGCUGAGUUUUCUUCAGCGGCAGUGUUUAUUUGUGGGAAGCAUUCAAAAGAGGUUGAGUAGAUGGAAUACAGGUUGGGUAAGAAUGGGAAUCUUGGAACAAAUAGAAUAGAGUGUUCUUUUGGGAAGGGUAGUUCUAAGUGUAACGAAGUGAACUAGUGAGAGGUUGGAAUAUGCUACUUCAAAACAGUUAUUGUUCCAAAAGUCCAUUGGCACUUGCACCUACUACAAACAUGGGAUACAAAGAGCUCUUUGUCCUGCUGUCCCUUGUUUACUUCACUCUACCCCAUUCAGCAUGAUGGUGAGUUCCCCAGGCUUGCCUCACUGGAAGCACUGUGCUCUAACUACCAGACCCAUGCUGAACCUAUUGUGAACUGCUGCCUCUUCACAACACCAGCUCUCCCCACACUAGCUUGCGGACCCUUAAAAGCCCCUCCAGAGUUUGCAAAUAUCCUCACAGAAACAUAGGCUUAUAAACAAGACUCAGUGGCAGUGGGGAAAGGGGUGUUGUGUGAGAGCCAAACUUUGGAAGCAGCAGGUCUCUUAAAUCCUACCUAGUCCUGUGGGGUUCUAGCAUAAAGUGCUUCCAAACUAGGCAGGUGAAAUAAGUAGCAGUAAAAAUCCUUGGCUAUGUUUUCCUUAUCUGUUGUUAUUUUAGAGAGAUUCAGGUGGGCUGAAUUUUAUGAUGUGCUUCAGCCAGAAAGUGUUUCCUUGCUAUUUGUUUAUUUAGAAGUAGUAAUUUGAGCAUAGGUGAUAAUAAAAGAUUAUAUUUUAAAAUUUGAAACAAUACUUAGCUAUGAAAUUCAGUAGUGAAAUUCAUGUAGUGUCUCUAAUGGACAGUAUUUGCCACACUAACAAACGUGUAUUGUAAUUUUGCAGUUGAAUGAAAUUUGAUGAAAUGUUGGGAAAGGAUCUACCUGUUUAGACAUGAGUGCACCUUUCUAACCUCAGAAGACCUGCUGUUGAAUCAAAAUGCAUGGUAUUCAUAUAUUCAUUCAUGUACUGCAAAAUUUGCCUGCAUAAAAUUGCAAUAGGACAGAACAGCCAGAUGAUUAUUCUUCAGACUCUCUUACUACAAACAUCCUUGAAAACAAAGUGCUGUUCAUAUAAAUGUUUAUGGAAAGUUAAUUCAAUAAAAGCAAAAAUG
ensembl:lncRNA